CAAAACUCAUACCAUUAUUAAUUCACCCACACACACACAGAGGAACAGAGAUGUUCAAAAAACAUGUAGAUGUGGUGCUUAGGUUGCACAUGUUGACACAAAUGAGACUAUUGAUGUCUCCCACAGGAGGCAUCUGCAAGUAGCAAAACCACAGUCCCAGAAGUGAGAAACUAAACCUUGCCUGUGAAGGAGAAGUGAUUUACCAUCAUUCUGCAUGUGGCUGAGAUUAGAAUUUUUUGAGAAUAAUUACAGAAGCUCACAGCAAAUUUAAUCUUCACAAUUUUGUUGGUCAAAAAACCCAGCAGGAAGUUGCAACCAGCAUGAAGUACAAUUGCUUGAAGAGUAACAGAUGAUGUCUCAUCACAGUACAGGAAGCUGUGUGGUAAAUCAUCUGGAAAUAUGUCAUGCAGCCCAGCAGGAAAACCAUUGAACUAAACAUCUUUAGUCUGCCAAAGGCUGUUGCAUAGACAAACGGACACAAAUACACCAGAGGGAUUCAGUUAUGGUGUUCAGAGGAACUCACUUCCAUCAAAUGCAAAGCAGCAUGUUAGAGGUGAAAGUCAAUUGCUUGCUUGUAUUUUUAAAUAAGGGGAGUACAGAGAAGAAGUUUAUAUACAACCUGUUUUCUUCCUGCAUGGAUCAUGGCAAGGAUGGAGAGAUGGUGGGUAUGCCUGUGUGUUAGGAAGUGAUUUGUCUUGAGCUUAGUCAUGGUGAUGAAGAACAGUCUACAGAAGGACAAUUUUUGAGCUCUUCAAUCUCUACACCACUUACUGGCCAGUCCUAUUGAAAACCACAGACUUGUCUGCAGCUGUCAUAUGCUUCUUCUUUAACUUAGUUAAUGAUGGUCUAUGGAAGCUAUUUAUUAGAGUCAUAAACAACCUCGCUCUGACUGAAUCUUCUUCUGAGGUUGUCUUGAAGAGACAGGAAAGAAAAAGGUCUCACAGGUGAUGUCAGAGUCAUGAUUUCUAAGGGACCAGAUAGAAAAUGUGGCUUAAAAUAAUUUUAUCAAAUGGGAAGGUGAUUUCUUAUCAUGGUGGUGGCCCUUCAAGAUCUUGUAAGAGUUCUUAUUCCGUAGGAAUACUUUGCAUUCCCAUUUUCAAGCAGUUGCAGCUGGGACUAUAUAAAGACUGCUUCAAUUUGUUUCCUGUUGCUAUAAAAGCAAAUAGAAUUUCACAGUACUCAGGGUGGCCUUUAUAAAUAUUGUGCACUCAUGGAGUUAUGAUGGAUCCAUGUGUGUCUCCUGACAGGGAGGAUUUUGAUUUGAAGCAUGCUGCAUAGGAAUGAAGAUGUUGCACAAAAGUGCAAUUUUCCCUGGAUGUACUACUAAAAUGGUGAUAAGAGUUGAAGCUUGCCAAAUUCAUAAGACAGUAAUUUCUUUCAAGAAGUUGCUGAACAAGAGAUGAAUCACUGAUCUCUUCAUGAUGAACAAAAAUUUGUUACAUCACAGCAUGUCAUUGGAGGACCAAAAAGGACCACCAUGGACAGCCCUGGAUUCCUCCCUCUGCUGAUAAACCAGAGCAACACCUUCACAGAUGCCUUAAGGCUAUGCUCAAAGAUGGUGUACUGUGGAAAACAAAAAUAAUUCAGAAAUACUUCAGAGGUACUGCCUUUGUAGACAAAGUCAGAAGUGACAGAGGGAAUACAUGUUGGAAUGCCAACAAUCAAGAAUACUGAGAAUGCCAGGAAUAACUACAUACCUUGGGGAUGUGAUGGUUGAUGACAUCCUUCGUGGCAGUGGCCAGGAAAGAGCAGAGAUAAAGAAGGGAAUGAAAAAACUUCCUCUUUUACAAGAAAGAAAAUAUUUCUUUUAUCUGAGUAUGUUUCAAAUACAUAUCCUGAUAGUGAAGAAAACAUACUGUUGUGCUGACAGAAAAUCG